ensembl:lncRNA
ACACACACACAGACACACACACCCCCACACACAGAGAGAGACACACACACACAACAUUGAUUCCUUACCUUUAUUCUGACCAUUCUUGGUUUGAACCCAGACCUCUUUCUGUCUGGAAGCCUGCCAGUACACGUUACUACAAUCUGGAAUAUCUGCACAGAGAGGAGAGAGGGGUGUGGGCAGAGACAUUAAGCUUUUUAUAGUAGAGGCAGAGCACUGGGACGACCAAAAGAAAUGAAACUGAGCUCCAAAAGCAAAGUGCUUUGCCAAGUAGGUUUGUAAAACACACACACACACACACUCAAAGAGAGAGAGAGAGAGAGAAACACACACACACACACACACACACACACACACACACACACUCAAAGAGAGAGAGAGAGAGAGAGAGAGACACACACACACACACACACACAUUUGUGACAGUCUGGGCUCAGUAAGAUACAUGGUGGAAAAAUAUGCUUGAUCUGAUGAACGAAUAGGGAAAACAGAGGAUAACAGAGGGGAGCGAUGGAAGUCAUACUCACCUAGAGCCUCGUUGGCUGUAGAUAACCUCCCCUCAACUAUGUGUGACCUGUAAUAACCCCCCAGAGAGUUACUGGAGAUUGAGACAAAACUGUGUGUGGUAUUCUAUUGAAAACAGUACGAUAGAGAACCAAAUCAUGCUGAUAAUAAAGAGAACGAUGGCGCUAAAAGCUACAACCAAUACCACCUCAAUACAGAGAAGGUAUAUACAAUAUAUAUAAGACAAUAUAUUUGUAUGUAUUUCAAUUUGCCUGGGAAUAUUAUUUGUGGGUCCUGUUUGUCAAGUGUGUUGGUGAUUUGGAGGGAGCGAUGAAAUGUUCCGACCCUACCUAGACUGCCUUUUUUCCUGAUUAUACUAAAUCUCUCCAGACGUCAAUAAAAAAAUCUAAAUGAAGAACUGAAUCUAAAGAAGUGAGAGUACAUGGGUUACUGCCUGAAGUAUACCAUCUCAGCAACACCAAGUACCUCUGUACUAGAAAUGGAAUAUAUCUCAGUGGUAUACAGUAGAGUCAGGAAUCAAAUUUCUGGAUUCAAAUCCGGAAUGAAAUAUCAGUCUGGAUAUACAUAGAUGACAUUGAUUACACGGUUCAUAUCUGUUUCUAAGCACAGCAGUUAGUGUGGUGUCAGAGUCAGUCCUGACAUCAGGGGUCUAUGGUGGAGAAGAUGAGGCUUUCAAAGCUAGUUUGGUCCUGACCAUGUGACACCAACUCCCGGCCCAGUCUGAAACUUACUGCGGGACAAAUGUUAACGACAAACACGUUAGGGGCCUCUACUUAAGUCAUUAGCGGAGGUUAUCUAGAGCUUAGCAUGGUUUCCCUUUCCCAUUAGUCAGGCUUAGCCCUAGACUGCCACACCAGUCAGCGUGUGAGACGUGCAUGCAAACUUACCUUCUUUUAGCCUUCUUUAAACUUGAUGUGCGACUCUGUUCCUGAGGGUCACAGGGAAGAAAAUCACUACUUGAAAAAGAUGUACAAAAUGCAGCAUAAGUGUAUUUUUUAUUUAAAUACUUUGCAAAACAUUGCAAUUCAGGGAUUAUUUUCGAAGAAUGCCGCAUUAGACAUUUUGUACAAUAUAUUCCAUUAUCGCUGAUUUCACAGCUCUAUUGCAUGUACACGUACUGCUGUUUUAGUGAAAGCAUUUUAAUUUGCAGUACCAAGAUCAAUCAAUAAGUUUACUUACAUUUACAUUUCAAGAUUCACUAUGUUUACAAAAAACUUUAAAAUGUAAAAUUUGAAAACCAAAGGUCCAAAAAUCCCAAAAUCACAAUUUGGACAAGUAGCUAAAUGGUGACACCUUCUAGUCUUGUAUCCUACUUUACUCCAAACAGGGUUGUAUAACUGUAAGACUAGCCAGGUUUGAGCGGUAGCUACCUUCACGCCCACCGUGGCGAUGCAGGGCUCCGAGCCGCGCCACUUGGCACUCUCCCGCAGAGGCCUGGGGCUGCUCGGCUUGCUGGGAAGCUUGCCGCUGUCCUGGGAGCCAUUGCUGUGCUCCGCCGGCCGGUACAGACUGUCCGUCGAACCCUCCUGGGCAAGGAGGACACGACAAGGCAAACAUACAAAUACAUGUAUUAGAGAAACCACUGUCUUUACCAAAUUAGUCAGCUUUAGUUACAACUUUUAAAAAGGACUUUUUAAAAUAUUCUGUCUUAUUGCCUUUAAUUUAAACAGGUUUGGCGGUAUAUCAUGGCUAAGAUGAUUAUGGUCCAGGGGUAUCCAGUUCAAGGCUAGGGUUAGCCUAGCUCUGCGUCCCUAGCGAAGCGUGUCAGUCAGAGGCAAAACAGAAGCACACGUCUCUGUCAAUCUACGUCCGAGGAAAUCGUGAGAGGGCUCAAACUGACCCAGCGCUUUGCUGGCUGUGCCAAUGAUAAACUGGAUUACAGAUGGACUCUGUGUAAAUGCUGUCUAGUAUACCAAACACACAUGUGCGUGGAGUGUGUGCCAGAUGUAGAGGGUGAGAGGGCCUUGACCUUGUGAGCUUCACCGCACACAAAUUAAACUCCACAGAUCACAGAGAGGGGGGAACUAGUAAUGACCUGACCUACUGUUACACAUCUCUCGCAAUCACAUCAAUUGCGCUGCACUGAAACACUAAGCAUGGACGUGUAACAGCUGCACAGCUGAUGAGUGCAGUGACAAUGACCAGAAAUGUCCUCCUUCAUGUGUGACUGCACAGAGUGAGGUGUGUGUGUGUGUGUGUGUGUGAGAGAGAGAGAGAGAGAGAGAGAGUGUGUGUGUGUGUGAGAGAGAGAGAGAGAGAGAGAGUGUGUGUGUGUGUGUGUCCGUGUGUGUGUGUGUGUGUGUGUG